UAUGGCGACCGGCGCACGGGUGAGUAACGCGUAUCAACCUGCCCUUUACUAUGGGACAGCCCGUCGAAAGGCGGAUUAAUACCGUAUGUUGUCAUGUUGAUGCAUAUUUUCAUGACCAAAGGCUUCGGCCGGUAAAGGAUGGGGAUGCGUCUGAUUAGCUUGCCGGCGGGGUAACGGCCCACCGGGGCGACGAUCAGUAGGGGUUCUGAGAGGAAGGUCCCCCACAUUGGAACUGAGACACGGUCCAAACUCCUACGGAAGGCAGCAG
rnacentral:rRNA from 1 species